AAUCCAACAUGGCGACCCGAACAAGGAGUGAAAUGUCAACACGACGAAAUAAAAAGCAAAAUAUAGAACCAAUGUACAACCGAAGCAAGUAUAUUACAAUGUCGAAUGAUAGGCUGGGCUAUAAGAAUCAAACUAGUGCACGGAGCGCGUGGAAAUCUAAUGUAGACGAUGUUGUAUCGGAUAAAGUUAGUUCUUUUGAACUUUGAAGUCUAACAGUUGUUUACAUUGCUGAAUUAGCGUAAAUCUGGUUUUUAGGUCUUAGUUUUAAAUAAACUUAAUAAAGAUAUAGAAGUACAAAUAUUUGUAUUUAUUACGCUAUAUUUGUUGUUUAAUAUAAAUAUAAUCUCUACUGACUGAGUAAAUAUGCCAGUAUGCCACCGGCAAAUUGACAAAUAAGCCAAAUAUCGGUAUAUAAAUACAAAAUUUGGAUUUAAACAUUACGCAGGUAAUGUGCAAGUACUGUUCUUAUUAAAACGGUGGAUAUUGACUAUUAAGGAUAGAAAUUAUAAUUUUGACUUUAAUAUUGUUGUCCAUAUCUAAUGUUUUAAUAUUUGUUUAUUUGUUAUUUAGCUUUUGCCAACUAGGGCAGGGUCACCACAAUAGCAUAUGCCAAUUACUGUGGGCCCUUUUCUACCUAACCCACCCUGUCAACUUUCCCUGUGGGAGGAAACCGGAGUACCCGGGGAAAACCCACGGCUUUCGGCAGAGCGUUGACUUUUACUCUUUUCACAUGGGGACUGGGUUCGAGUCGCACUGAGAAGGUAUACUUAGUGAGACUCGAACCUGCAGCCUCAGAGGUGAAAGGCAAGUGCGCUAACCACUUGGCCACCGAAGCCCCUAAGCCCCAUAUUGUCUGCAAACAAUUUUGUUAGCAAUCCUUACUUUGAUGCUUGUGAUGUUACUCUGAGUGUAUAUCCACACCGGGCAGGCCUGAAAAUAUGCCUGGCCACGGUGGGAAUCGAACCUACAACCUUUGGCAUACUAGCCCAAUGCUCUACCAACUGAGCUACGCGGUCAGGUCGGUUCGAGUAUGUGAUAUUUCGGAACUGCAGAGUCUAGUUCCUUCAAUAUCAGUGUAAUCUAAUAAUCAUGAUUUUUUAGCUCAAUUGGCAGAGCAUUGGGCUACUAUUCCAAAGGUCGUAGGUUCGAUUCCCACCGUGGCCAGGCAUAUUUUUCAAGCUCGCCCGGCGUGGAUAUACACUCAGAGUAACAUCACAAGCAUCUUAUUCACCUGAGUACACAACACCAACACAACAAAAAUAAUCCUUACUUUGUUAGCUGUUUUAAAAAAGUACUAUUUAUUUUCAGGUGUUCUUGGAGCGACGUAAUUUAAUUGGCCAGUGG